rnacentral:rRNA from 1 species
UACGAAGGGGGCUAGCGUUGCUCGGAAUGACUGGGCGUAAAGGGCGCGUAGGCGGCUUGCACCGUCAGAUGUGAAAUCCCCGGGCUCAACCCGGGAACUGCGUCCGAUACUGGAAGGCUUGAAUCCGGGAGAGGGAUGCGGAAUUCCAGGUGUAGCGGUGAAAUGCGUAGAUAUCUGGAGGAACACCGGUGGCGAAGGCGGCAUCCUGGACCGGUAUUGACGCUGAGGCGCGAAAGCCAGGGGAGCAAACGGG